UUCAUUUUGACGGAUAACUGAUAAAUCGAGAUGUAGAAUCGAGGUGUUUGUUUUUGUUAUUGAUUUUUCGGAAACAGUGUAUUAUUUAUAUCAGUGGUGGUAUCACAAUAAUAAAAUUUAAGAAAAAUAAGUCUGUUCUGGUUGUGCAAACGUAUAAAAAUGUACGACAUGUGGGAUAACAACAUGUAUCACCAAACUAACGUCCACGAAUAUUCUGCCGAAUUGCAGAAUGAGAAUAACAAUAAUAUUGAGUACAAAACGAGGCCUAAAACUCCAGAAAUAUAUCCUGAAAAUCAAAUAAUUACAAGCUUUGAUGAUUUAAAAAUUACCGAAUGGCCUGGUGAAAUAGAAAUACAGGAAUUCAUAAACAAUAGCCCAAGUGCGAACCCUGAAGAAAAAGACAAAGAAAAAGAUGAAAAAAAGAAAAGGGCUAAGAAAACAAAAGAAGUGAAAGAAUUAAAGAAACUUAGAACAGUACAUGAACCUAUCUGUAUCCAUCACAUUCCACUGGAACCUGAAGAAUUGAACUCACUCGCCUUCGCUCCAGUUCUAAAAAGAAAAAAGAAACGAGAAGGAUGCUUUUCACCUGAUGGUUUAGUAAUCGAUACAAACCCUGAAAUGGAUGGUUACGACUCCGAUGAAACCGUUAACAAAUAUGUAAAUGAAUAUUUACUUUAUGUGGCUGGUGGAGUGUGGUGAAGAAGGUAUGUGCAAGUGUCGCAGGAUGCGAGGCAGGGAUUACUAUGAAGAUUACUUACUAAUGGAGUGCCGCGAUUAUAUUAAAUUUUAUUCCCAUGGGAAGCGUGAAUUUUCUUAUGGAACAGUUUUACACUUUACCGGAGCCCCAGAAGACUUGAGCAGGGAAGAUCUAUAUAUAGCACUGCUGGAACUAGGUGCAACCAUUGAAUUUUUGGACUAUCAACAAGGUGAUCCUGAGGGAUGGAUUCGGCUCAAUUAUCCUUAUGAAGCCAGAAUUGUAAUCAAGAAAAUGGAAGACAAAAAAUUUAGAAUUGGUAACGCAGAAUUAAUAUUCAAUGUUUUAUCUGGAAAAGAACAAAAAAAGUAUUUGAAAAAUGUCUCAAAAGCAAUUUUUACGCUUCAAGAAGUGGGAAAAAAUAGAAAAAUGGAGAAAAGUGGUUUUAGAUAUUCGUAAAGUAUUAAUAAUGUAAAAAAUAAAUUGAGUAUGAUAGGCACAUUUUUUUGAAUUACAAAUAUUUUAUAAGAUCUUUGUGCUCAGCUGUAGCGCUCGCGACUACUAUUUGGACCAAAGCGACAGUAAAAUAUAUUUUAAUACUCAAUAACUUGCACAAUAGGCUAUUUGACAGUAUGAAAAAUAAAGUAUUAUUAAAAGCUACAUACGUAAAUUAUGACUUUAAAAAGCGUUAUUGAGUAAAACAAAUUUAUAUAUGUAUUUAUAAUGGUUUAUUUAAAAAAAAACUUAUCUUAAAUCUUUAUACCCCAACCAGGGAUACAAAACGGUCAAGUUUGGUGAAUCGAUUGUGACGUAACCUGCAUGUUUCUUGUAAUAAUCUUAUUACGGUUUUGGUGUUUAUUUUAUUCAGAAACUGUUUGAAAGGCAUUAUUUAUACAAAAACCAAUUACAUAUUAUUUGUUUUUAAAUCGCAGUAUGGUACGUUUAUCGACCAGAAAACUUGAUGUUGGUUACUUAUUGAUAGUGACCUCACUUGCUUGUGCGGGGCGCUAUCUUGCACGAAGAAGCCGUUUUGCGGGUUAUUCAAAAUAUUAUUGUUAAAUUCGAAUGUUUACGUCCAAUUUUUAAUCAAUUUAAAAAUAACUCAUGUUAAUGGAAUUUUGUCAAAUGGCCUAUUCUCAAAAUAAAUAGAUACCUUCCAUAGUAAGUAUUUACCUACUAAUUUAUUAUUAACAGCCAAAUCAAACCUUUUUAAAAAUCUUAUAGAUUUUUAAGGAUGUUUGCCAUCUGGCCGUGCACGAGUCAGUGCCGACAAUAAUUAUGUUAGCGCUGAGCCAUUAUUUUUGUUGACUUUUUUCAUUGUUUAAUCGAAUUUAAGAACCUGUCCAGAAGAAAAAAAAAAUUAUUUGAUACACUUAUUGUAAAAACAGCCUUAAACUUUCUGAUGUAUAUGUGUGUGUGUGUAUGUGUCAUUAUUAUUAAUUUUCUUGUAUUUGUAACUUUAUUGUGGCAAAAAGACAAAUUAAGUCAAUUAAUUAGUGUUUUUUUUAAUACUUUAUUAUACAAUAUGUACUAUUUUUUGUUUAUGUGAAACAUGGAAUUGGUAUUUUUAUGUAAAUAGGUAAUCUGUGUACAGAAAUUCAAAACUUACGAUAAAAAAUCACCAUUAUAAUCUGUCUUAAGCUGAAUAAAGUUCAAAUGUUGAUCGCAGAGAUCAAAUA